UCCUAAACCCAACAGAAACCUGCAGAGAGAAUAUAUUGUGUGUUGUAUGGAUGCAUUGCCUGUCCAUUAAAAAGCCUGCUGGCUUAGGUAGGCAAUGGGAGGUGGGACAUCCGGGAGGAUAAAGGAUUCUGGGAAAGAGCAAGACGAGAUGGGCUGGGAAGAUGUGAGGAGACGGACCCAUGGUAGCCGAGUACAGUGAUAAAAGAAGUAUCUCUACUGGAGCCACAAACAGGCCUGAAAGGCGAGCCUGCCUGGCCAGCUUCUACCCAGGCGCUCGGGACUGAGCUUUUCCAGUGAAGGAAGGACUUUAAAAUGUUAAAGAAACAAAGGGGAAAGAAACACCCCAAAACCUUUAAGAACAGCCCUGGAGUGGCAUCAAAAAUACAAAAGUAAUAUGUAAGAAGGAACCAAAAUUUCACACUCAUCAUAGGAUUUUUUUCAAGAAUAAAAAUGUUUAAAAGGUAGUUUUCCAUUUGUGAAAAUAAAGAACUAAAAAGAAUAGAGUGA